rnacentral:rRNA from 1 species
UACGGAGGGAGCUAGCGUUGUUCGGAAUUACUGGGCGUAAAGCGCGCGUAGGCGGCUUUGUAAGUUAGAGGUGAAAGCCCGGAGCUCAACUCCGGAACUGCCUUUAAAACUGCAUCGCUUGAAUCCAGGAGAGGUGAGUGGAAUUCCGAGUGUAGAGGUGAAAUUCGUAGAUAUUCGGAAGAACACCAGUGGCGAAGGCGGCUCACUGGACUGGUAUUGACGCUGAGGAGCGAAAGCGUGGGUAGCAAACAGG